AAAAGAAACAAAGGAAAAGAAGAGAGAAUUUUCUUUUCUUUCUCCUCUCUUUUUCUGUUUUUUUUGUUUGUUUGAUUUGUUUGAGAGACUAGUCUUCUUCGUUGAUUUGGAUUAGGACAAAAAAAAAUGGCAGAGG
rnacentral:ribozyme from 13 species